CCUAAUCUAUUCCUUACCUCACACUGCAGCAGCACAACAUUCUCCACUGGUAGGCAUUCGUUGACGAGAAGCUUGGCCAAACCCAGUAGGUAUGCGUGGAAUUAUUGAGCUCAGGUUUUUUGGGAUUAAGAUUCUUACACCAAAGGAUCACUAUAUGCCAAGACUUCGAGGAUGAUAAGAGCGGAAGAUUUGGAUUUAAUUGUUAGGCUCGAUGGCU